UACGUAGGUGGCAAGCGUUAUCCGGAAUUAUUGGGCGUAAAGCGCGCGUAGGCGGUUUUUUAAGUCUGGUGUGAAAGCCCACGGCUCAACCGUGGAGGGUCAUUGGAAACUGGAAAGCUUGAGUGCAGAAGAGGAAAGUGGAAUUCCACGUGUAGCGGUGAAAUGCGUAGAGAUGUGGAGGAACACCAGUGGCGAAGGCGACUUUCUGGUCUGUAACUGACGCUGAGGCGCGAAAGCGUGGGGAGCAAACAGG
rnacentral:rRNA from 1 species